rnacentral:rRNA from 1 species
CCGGAGGUUACUGCUAUCGGUGUUCGCCUACCUCAUGCGAGUCAUAUGUUCUUCGUGAACAUGGCGUACUGCUCAGUAACACGUGAAUAACCUGCCCUUGGGACCGGCAUAACCCCGGGAAACUGGGGAUAAUUCCGGAUACCGCAUAUAUGCUGGAAUGCUUUAUGCGUGAAAUGGAUUCGUCUGCCCAAGGAUGGGUCUGCGGCCUAUCAGGUAGUAGUGGGUGUAAUGUACCUACUACCCUACAACGGGUACGGGUUGUGAAAGCAAGAGCCCGGAAAUGGAUUCUGAGACAUGAAUCCAGGCCCUACGGGGCGCA